rnacentral:tRNA from 1 species
GGAUUUCACUUUCCGGCAAUGGGAUUGAAAAUCCCCGUGUCCUUGGUUCGAUUCCGAGUCCGGGCACCA